rnacentral:rRNA from 1 species
GGGACUCAUCCAAGGCCCCGUAAUCGGAAUGAGAACACUCUAAAUCCUUUAACGAUGAUCUAUUGGAGGGCAAGCCUGGUGCCAGCACCCGCGGUAAUUCCAGCUCCAAUAGCGUAUAUUAAAGUUGUUGCGGUUAAAAAGCUCGUAGUUGGUUCUGCGUGCCACGCUGUCGGUUCGCCGCCUGCCGGUGCAACUGGCAUGCCGUGGCAUGUCCUGUCGGUGGCGGAUAGGCCUCCCGGCGUGCCCUAUGCGGUAUACCAGCGUGUAGGCUGCUGCGCCGGGGGUGUCCUUGUACGCCGACUCAAUCCUACCGCGGUGCUCUUUACCGAGUGUCGAGGUAGGCCGACACUGUUUACUUUGAACAAAUUAGAGUGCUUCAAGCAGGCUCUUAAAUCAGCCUGAAUAGUGGUGCAUGGAAUAAUGGAACAGGACCUUGGUUCUAUUUUGUUGGUUUCCGGAAUCCAAGGUAAUGAUCAAUAAGGACAGGCGGGGGCAUUCGUAUUGCGACGUUAGAGGUGAAAUUCUUGGAUCGUCGCAAGACGCACUAAAGCGAAAGCAUUUGCCAAGUAUGUCUUAUUGAUCAAGAACGAAAGUUAGAGGUUCGAAGGCGAUCAGAUACCGCCCUAGUUCUAACCUAAACGAUGGCAGCCAGCGAUCCGCCGACGUUCUCCCAUGAAUCGGGGGGAACUUUCCCCGGGAAAAAAAACUUUUUGGGUUCC